AGGAGAGCUUGCUCUCUGGGUGGCGAGUGGCGGACGGGUGAGGAAUACAUCGGAAUCUACUUUUUCGUGGGGGAUAACGUAGGGAAACUUACGCUAAUACCGCAUACGACCUACGGGUGAAAGCAGGGGAUCUUCGGACCUUGCGCGAUUGAAUGAGCCGAUGUCGGAUUAGCUAGUUGGCGGGGUAAAGGCCCACCAAGGCGACGAUCCGUAGCUGGUCUGAGAGGAUGAUCAGCCACACUGGAACUGAGACACGGUCCAGACUCCUACGGGAGGCAGCAGUGGGGAAUAUUGGACAAUGGGCGCAAGCCUGAUCCAGCCAUACCGCGUGGGUGAAGAAGGCCUUCGGGUUGUAAAGCCCUUUUGUUGGGAAAGAAAUCCAGCUGGCUAAUACCCGGUUGGGAUGACGGUACCCAAAGAAUAAGCACCGGCUAACUUCGUGCCAGCAGCCGCGGUAAUACGAAGGGUGCAAGCGUUACUCGGAAUUACUGGGCGUAAAGCGUGCGUAGGUGGUCGUUUAAGUCCGUUGUGAAAGCCCUGGGCUCAACCUGGGAACUGCAGUGGAUACUGGGCGACUAGAAUGUGGUAGAGGGUAGCGGAAUUCCUGGUGUAGCAGUGAAAUGCGUAGAGAUCAGGAGGAACAUCCAUGGCGAAGGCAGCUACCUGGACCAACA
rnacentral:rRNA from 1 species